GAUGAACGCUGGCGGCGUGCCUAAUACAUGCAAGUCGAGCGAAUGGAUUAAGAGCUUGCUCUUAUGAAGUUAGCGGCGGACGGGUGAGUAACACGUGGGUAACCUGCCCAUAAGACUGGGAUAACUCCGGGAAACCGGGGCUAAUACCGGAUGACAUUUUGAACCGCAUGGUUCGAAAUUGAAAGGCGGCUUCGGCUGUCACUUAUGGACGGACCCGCGUCGAAUUAGCUAGUUGGUGAGGUAACGGCUCACCAAGGCAACGAUGCGUAGCCGACCUGAGAGGGUGAUCGGCCACACUGGGACUGAGACACGGCCCAGACUCCGACGGGAGGCAGCAGUAGAGAAUCUUCCGCAAUGGACGAAAGUCUGACGGAGCAACGCCGCGUGAGUGAUGAAGGCUUUCGGGUCGUAAAACUCUGUUGUUAGGGAAGAACAAGUGCUAGUUGAAUAAGCUGGCACCUUGACGGUACCUAACCAGAAAGCCACGGCUAACUACGUGCCAGCCGCCGCAGUAA
rnacentral:rRNA from 1 species